UAUAACAUAAGUAUAGUAGUACAUUUACCUUCCAAGUAAAAAGUUUAUCCUAAAUAAAUGUUAUA
rnacentral:tRNA from 1 species